GACGAGGUGGCCGAGCGGUUAAGGCGAUGGUCUGCUAAACCAUUGGGAGUCUCCCGCGUGAGUUCGAAUCUCACCCUCGUCG
rnacentral:tRNA from 1 species